rnacentral:rRNA from 1 species
UAACACCAGCGCCACGAGUGGGAACCAUUUUUAUUUGGCCUAAAGCGCCCGUAGCUGGCUUGGUAAAUCUCUUGUGAAAUCGACAAGCUCAACUUGUCGGCGUGCAUGAGACACUACCUGGCUUGAGACCGGGAGGGGUAUGGAGUAUUCUUAGGGGACCGGUAAAAUGGGAUAAUCCUAGGAAGACUACCUGUGGCGAAGGCGCCAUACCAGAACGGGUCUGACAGUGAGGGACGAAGGCUAGGGGAGCGAACCGGAUUAGAUACCCGAGUAGUCCUAGCAGUAAACGCUGUGGGCUAGGUGUUGCGCAAUCUACGUGAUUGUGCAGUAUCGAAGCGAAGGCAUUAAGCCCACCGCCUGGGAAGUAUGGUCGCAAGACUG